rnacentral:lncRNA from 1 species
UGGACGCCUGAUCCAAUUUCUUAGAAAUUAAACCAUUUAACCAUACUUGGUUUAUUUGGUUUAAUAAAGAUAUUUCAUUAAACUUUCCCUAUUGAUUUAUCAAAUGGUUUCAGCUUAUUGGACCCAAUUUGGAUAUUUUCCCAAUUAUGCUUCUAAAGCCUUCAAUGGCUUUACCUUAGCUAUUACUUGUCCUUCGCACAAGGCUUUAUU